GAUGAACGCUGGCGGCGUGCUUAACACAUGCAAGUCGAACGGAAAGGCGCUGAUCUUGCGGGGUGCUCGAGAGGCGAACGGGUGAGAAAAACGUGAGUAACAUGUCCUUGACUUUGGGAUAACAUCAGGAAACAGGGGCUAAUAUAGGAUAGGAGCUCCUGCAGCAUGGUGGGGGUUGGAAAGAUUCGGCGGUUGGGGAUGGAAUAGCGGCUUAUCAGCCUGAUGGUGGGGUAGUGGCUUACAAAGGGUUUGACGGGUAGCCGGCCUUGGAGGGUGACCGGCCACAUUGGGACUGAGGUACGGCGCAGACGCCUACGGGACGCAGCAGUGGAGAGUAUUGCACAGUGAGCGGGAGCCUGAUACAGCGACGCCGCGAUCGUAAUGACGUCCUUCGAGUUGUAAACCGCUUUCGCCGUUAACGUGGCGGUAGUGACGGUAAUUGAUAAGGAAGCACCGGCUAACUACGUG
rnacentral:rRNA from 1 species